AGAAACAAAAAGUAGCUUAAAAAAAGCACCCGACUUACACUCGUGCGAUAUUAAAUUAAUCUUUUUGA
rnacentral:tRNA from 1 species